rnacentral:lncRNA from 12 species
AGUGUCCAUAUGCUUCAGCCCAAAAAAUCAAGACAACAGAAAGGAGACAAAAGGGGCAGAGGCUGGAGAAAGUGGCUUGCACAGCACAGCUCCAAAGUGACGAAAGUCACUGGUACAGAUCAAGCAUGGCUGAAAGCUGCUUAGUACUGCUGCUCUGCAACUGAACUAUAGAGCUGAACACAACUCUAGAGCUGGAA